GUAAGCGGGUUGUGAAAUGUAGAAUGCUCAACAUCUGAAUUGCAGCGCGAACUGGCAGACUUGAGUGUGCGCACGUAGGCGGAAUUCGUGGUGUAGCGUGAAAUGCUUAGAUAUCACGAAGAACUCCAAUUGCGAAGGCAGCUUACGGGAGCACGACUGACGCUGAAGCUCGAAAGUGCGGAUAUCGAACAGGAUUAGAUACCUGGUAGUCCGCACGGUAAACGAUGGAUGCCCGCUGUUGACCCACCUGGGCCAGCGGCCAAGCGAAAGCAUUAAGCAUCCCACCUGGGGAGUACGCCGGCAACGGUGAAACUCAAAGGAAUUGACGGGGGCCCGCACAAGCGGAGGAACAUGUGGUUUAAUUCGAUGAUACGCGAGGAACCUUACCCGGGCUUGAAUUGCAGAGGAAUUUACCAGAGAUGGUAAAGCCCUUCGGGGUCUCUGUGAAGGUGCUGCAUGGUUGUCGUCAGCUCGUGCCGUGAGGUGUCGGCUUAAGUGCCAUAACGAGCGCAACCCCUUUCCUUAGUUGCCAUCAGGUCAUGCUGGGCACUCUGGGGAUACUGCCACCGUAAGGUGUGAGGAAGGUGGGGAUGACGUCAAAUCAGCACGGCCCUUACGUCCGGGGCUACACACGUGUUACAAUGGCCGGUACAGAGAGACGGUUGCUUGCAAAAGUAAUCAAAUCCUUAAAACCGGUCCCAGUUCGGACUGGGGUCUGCAACUCGACCCCGCGAAGCUGGAUUCGCUAGUAAUCGCGCAUCAGCCAUGGCGCGGUGAAUACGUUCCCGGGCCUUGUACACACCGCCCGUCAAGCCAUGAAAGCCGGGGGUGCCUGAAGUCCGUGACCGCAAGGAACGGCCUAGGGCAAAACUGGUAAUUGGGGCUAAGUCGUAACAAGGUAACC
rnacentral:rRNA from 1 species